rnacentral:rRNA from 1 species
AUUGAACGCUGGCGGCAGGCCUAACACAUGCAAGUCGAACGAGUGGCGGACGGGUGAGGAAUGUCUGGGAAACUGCCUGAUGGAGGGGGAUAACUACUGGAAACGGUAGCUAAUACCGCAUACCAUCAGAUGUGCCCAGAUGGGAUUAGCUAGUUGGUGGGGUAACGGCUCACCAAGGCGACGAUCCCUAGCUGGUCUGAGAGGAUGACCAGCCACACUGGAACUGAGACACGGUCCAGACUCCUACGGGAGGCAGCAGUGGGGAAUAUUGCACAAUGGGCGCAAGCCUGAUGCAGCCAUGCCGCUUGUGUGAAGAAGGCCUUCGGGUUGUAAAGUACUUUCAGCAGGGAGGCGUUACCCGCAGAAGAAGCACCGGCUAACUCCGUGCCAGCAGCCGCGGUAAUUC